rnacentral:rRNA from 1 species
CUUGCCUUUACCAGCCGGCGACCGGCGCACGGGUGAGUAACACGUAUCCAACCUGCCUCAUACUCGGGGAUAGCCUUUCGAAAGAAAGAUUAAUACCCGAUGUUAUAGUCCUACCGCAUGAUGGGAUUAUUAAAGAAUUUCGGUAUGGGAUGGGGAUGCGUUCCAUUAGUUAGUUGGCGGGGUAACGGCCCACCAAGACAACGAUGGAUAGGGGUUCUGAGAGGAAGGUCCCCCACAUUGGAACUGAGACACGGUCCAAACUCCUACGGAAGGCAGCAG